rnacentral:ribozyme from 1 species
CAUGGUCUCAGGGAGUGGGAAAUUAGUGACUAUGGUGAAGAAACGAGCACCAGCACAAGAGGAUCAAGACGUGGAUUCCCUGGUUAGCCAAAUUGGUGGAAGUGAAG